UGAGGGGAAGACUGAAGAUAGGGAAGGGCAAGGGAACUGGCGACCAGGUUCCAGAAAAAGGCUCCGUAGGUGCAAUGUGCCUCCCUCCCUGAAGAACGCAGGGGAGUUGCGCCCGGAUUUGUAUUUAUUCAAAAUACAAAUGAAAAUCAAGAGGUCUUCUAUGAGAUCUUUGUGCAAAGGUGAGAAAACAGGGAAAGAUGAGCAUUGCCUCCUGGUAGUGUAAGAGCAGGAACUGUUUGGCCAGUGCCUACUAUGCGCUCUGAGCACUGAGAUCCAUGAGGGAAGUGUGAGGAGAGAGUCCAGCUGCCUCCAGCCGAUCAAGCAGGCCAAAUAAUGUUCCUGAUGAAGCGAGCUGCGCCACCCAAGAAAAGCAUCUUUGUAGCUGAUUCCCCAAAAUUCAGAUAGUAUUUGUUCUCUUCCUUUACUUCUCUCCCUAAGGGAAAAAAGAGAGUUUAUAUCCCCUAAAAAACACCUCAAAUAAUUGUCCUCUGCCUGAGCAGUUCUCUGAGCCCUGGACUACACAGAAGUUCUUGGCAUCUUUUGGACAUCCUGUGGAGACCUCAGACAACAAUCAUAAACAGAACUCUUUGCUUCUUGUCUAAUAUCUGGCCAUCUUUGAGUGUUCUCUUUCCAAAAAACAUCAAAGAUGGAAAUGAA
rnacentral:lncRNA from 1 species